rnacentral:rRNA from 1 species
GCAGGCUGCAACUCGCCUGCAUGAAGUCGGAAUUGCUAGUAAUCGCGGAUCAGCAUGCCGCGGUGAAUACGUUCCCGGGCCUUGUACACACCGCCCGUCACACCAUGAGAGCCGGUAACACCCGAAGUCAGUAGUCUAACCGCAAGGGGGACGCUGCCGAAGGUGGGGCUGGUGAUUGGGGGUGAAGUCGUAACAAGGUACC